rnacentral:rRNA from 1 species
UUAAGAUAGUAAGAGCAUACGGCGGAUGCCUUGGCGAUAUCUGCCGACGAAGGACGCGACAAGCUGCGAUAAGUCACGGGAAGGUGCAAAUGACCGUUGAUCCGUGAAUUUCCGAAUGGAGCAAUCCGGCUGUGGUUAUGCACAGUCACCCAUGCCAUUGAGUAUGGGAGGGAACCGGGCGAACUGAAACAUCUAAGUAGCCCGAGGAGAAGAAAUCAAACGAGAUACCCCAAGUAGCGGCGAGCGAACGGGGCAGAAGCCCAAACCGGAGAAGGAAACUUUUCCGGGGUUGAGGACCGUCAGACGAUAAGGAAGCCCAGCCGAAUCCCCUGGGAAGGGGAGCCGGAGAAUGUGAAAGCCAUGUAGGCGAAGGGCGGAUAAGGACAGACGGCACCAGAGUACCGCGGGACACGAGAAACCCCGUGGGAAGCCGGGGGGACCACCCUCCAAGGCAAAACACAGAUAUCGACCGAUAGCGCAUAGUACCAUGAGGGAAAGGUGAAAAGCACCCCGGGAGGGGAAUGAAACAGAACCUGAAACCGUAUGUUUACAAGCAGUCGGAGACCGUAUAUAUACCAGGUCGACGGCGUGCCUAUUGAAGAAUGAACCGGCGAGUUAUGAGGUCCAGCAAGGUUAAGCAGGAAAUGCGGAGCCGAAGCGAAAGCGAGUCUUAAUAGGGCGAUAAGUUGGAUUGCAUAGACCCGAAACCACAGUGAUCUACCCAUGUCCAGGCUGAAACACAGGUAAAAAUGUGCGGAGGGCCGAACCUAUAUCCGUUGAAAAGGGUUAGGAUGAGGUGUGGGUAGGGGUGAAAUUCCAAUCGAACGUGGAGAUAGCUGGUUCUCCCCGAAAUAGCUUUAGGGCUAGCCUCGAGGUAGAGAUUGCAGGCGGUAGAGCACUGAUCAGGAGAGGGACCUACCCGGUUACCAAACCCAGUCAAACUGCGAAUGGCUGCAAUUAUACUCGGGAGUCAGACUACGACUUAUAAGGGCCGUGGUCAAAAGGGAAACAGCCCAGAUCAUCAGCUAAGGUCCCAAAUGCCGUGCUAAGUGGCGAAGGAUGUGGCGUUUCAUAAACAACCAGGAUGUUGGCUCAGAAGCAGCCACCAUUUAAAGAGUGCGUAAUAGCUCACUGGUCGAGAGACGCUGCGCCGAAAAUGUCCGGGGCUCAAGCACGGAACCGAAGCUAUGGCAUGACAGCAAUGUCAUGGGUAGGGGAGCGUUCUUAUAAGGAAGAAGCAUUACCGUAAGGAGAUGUGGACAUAUAAGAAGUGAGAAUGCCGGUAUGAGUAUCGAAAAGAAAGGUGAGAAUCCUUUCCACCGAAAGCCCGAGGGUUCCUGAGCAACGAUCGUCGACUCAGGGUAAGUCGGGACCUAAGCCGAGGCGGAGACGCAUAGGCGAUGGACAACAGGUUGAAAUUCCUGUACCGGAUGGAGUCAAUUGAGCGAAGGAGCGACGCAGGAGGGCACAUGAUCGCGCGGCUGGAAGAGCGCGUCCAAGUGCGUAUGCGUAGAGGGAGGCAAAUCCCCCUUUACAGAAGCAGAGACAUGAUGGGGAGUUAAAGGAGACUUUGACGAACUCAUGGAUCCCACACUGCCAAGAAAAACUUCUAGCGAGACGAAAUCCGCCCGUACCGUAAACCGACACAGGUAGGCGGGGAGAGAAUCCUAAGGUGCGCGGGAAAACCCUCGUUAAGGAACUCGGCAAAUUGCAUCCGUAACUUCGGGAGAAGGAUGACCCUGAGUAGGCGAAAGGGAGAAACCCCCGGAACAGAAAAGGGUGGCAGAAAAGAGGCCCAAGCAACUGUUUACCAAAAACACAGGUGCCUGCGAAAGCGAAAGCUGAAGUAUAGGUGCUGACGCCUGCCCGGUGCUGGAAGGUUAAGGAGAGAGGUCAGCGAAAGCGAAGCUUUGAACUGAAGCCCCAGUGAACGGCGGCCGUAACUAUAACGGUCCUAAGGUAGCGAAAUUCCUUGUCGGGUAAGUUCCGACCCGCAUGAAAGGCGUAAUGAUUUGGGCACUGUCUCAACGAGGGGCCCGGUGAAAUUGAAAUACCUGUGAAGAUGCAGGUUACCCGCGACUGGACAGAAAGACCCCAUGGAGCUUCACUGCAGCUUGAGAUUGAAUCCCGGUGACAUAUGCACAGGAUAGGUGGGAGGCUAAGAAGUAAUGCCUUUGGGUGUUACAGAGCCGAUGUUGGGAUACCACCCUUAUGUUGCUGAGAUUCUAACACGGAGACUAACAACCUCGUGGACCAUCUCAGGCAGGCGGUUUGACUGGGGCGGUCGCCUCCUAAAAUGUAACGGAGGCG